rnacentral:rRNA from 1 species
GAUGAACGCUGGCGGCGUGCUUAACACAUGCAAGUCGAACGGUGAACCCGGAGCUUGCUCUGUGGGAUCAGUGGCGAACGGGUGAGUAACACGUGAGCAACCUGCCCCUGACUCUGGGAUAAGCGCUGGAAACGGCGUCUAAUACUGGAUAUGUGACGUGACCGCAUGGUCUGCGUUUGGAAAGAUUUUUCGGUUGGGGAUGGGCUCGCGGCCUAUCAGCUUGUUGGUGAGGUAAUGGCUCACCAAGGCGUCGACGGGUAGCCGGCCUGAGAGGGUGACCGGCCACACUGGGACUGAGACACGGCCCAGACUCCUACGGGAGGCAGCAGUGGGGAAUAUUGCACAAUGGGCGCAAGCCUGAUGCAGCAACGCCGCGUGAGGGAUGACGGCCUUCGGGUUGUAAACCUCUUUUAGCAGGGAAGAAGCGAAAGUGGCGGUACCUGCAGAAAAAGCGCCGGCUAACUACGUG